UGGCACACCAGCGGUGGAUUUUGCGGCUUAAUUUGACUCAACACGGGAAAACUCACCCGGCCCGGACACUGUUAGGAUUGACAGAUUGAUAACUCUUUCUUGAUUCCGUGGUUGGUGGUGCAUGGCCGUUCUUGGUUGGUGGAGUGAUUUGUCUGGUUGAUUCCGAUAACGAGCGAAACUCUAACCUACUAAAUAAUUUCUGAAUCUUUUAUUUCAGUAAACUUCUUAGAGGCAUAAGCGGUGUGAAACCGCAAGACAGACAACAAUAACAGGUCUGUGAUGCCCUUAGAUGUCCGGGGCUGCACGCGUAAUACACUGGGAGAAUCAGCUGGCCAUCCAUUGCCGAAAGGUAUUGGUAAACCGUUGAAACUCUUUCGUGUCCGGGAUAGGGAAUUGUAAUUAU
rnacentral:rRNA from 1 species